AGCGAACGCUGGCGGCAGGCUUAACACAUGCAAGUCGAGCGGGCAUCUUCGGAUGUCAGCGGCAGACGGGUGAGUAACACGUGGGAACGUACCCUUCGGUUCGGAACAACUCUGGGAAACUGGAGCUAAUACCGGAUACGCCCUUAUGGGGAAAGGUUUACUGCCGAAGGAUCGGCCCGCGUCUGAUUAGCUAGUUGGUGGGGUAACGGCCUACCAAGGCGACGAUCAGUAGCUGGUCUGAGAGGAUGAUCAGCCACACUGGGACUGAGACACGGCCCAGACUCCUACGGGAGGAAGCAGUGGGGAAUAUUGGACAAUGGGCGCAAGCCUGAUCCAGCCAUGCCGCGUGAGUGAUGAAGGCCUUGGGGUUGUAAAGCUCUUUUGUCCGGGACGAUAAUGACGGUACCGGAAGAAUAAGCCCCGGCUAACUUCGUG
rnacentral:rRNA from 1 species